AAGUCGUAACAAGGUUUCCGUAGGUGAACCUGCGGAAGGAUCAUUAACACUACUUUCUAUCUUAUAAACAUCCGAGAACCGUUGAGAGUGCCACCCGGCUGAGAUCGCUAGGCAAUGGUAUGGAUUCCGAGAGUCUGCCACAACGGACCGACGGAUUGGCCUGCGGUUACGAACACGCGUCUGCUGCUCACUUCUCAUUCGUGGGAAGCGAUGCCGGGCGCGUGAGUCCAACUCUGACCCGAUGGCCUAAUUACAGCCUCUUACCAUGGCUGGCCCUUUUUUUUUCUUUAACCUGAACAACGUACUGAUUUCUAGUCUUGGAUUCUGAGAGCCUCACGGCUUUCUCUGGGGCUAAACCUUCUGAGCUCUCUUCGGAGGCUCUGAAACAAACACAACUCUUAACAGCGGAUAUCUCGGUUCUC
rnacentral:misc_RNA from 1 species